rnacentral:rRNA from 1 species
AAUGAACGCUGGCGGCGUGCGUAACACAUGCAAGUCGAACGUGAAAGUCCCCUUCGGGGGAUGAGUAAAGUGGCAAACGGGUGAGUAACACGUGGGUAACCUGCCCUCUGGUGGGGGAUAACCCUGCGAAAGCGGGGCUAAUACCGCAUAACAAGUCGCUAAAUAAUUAGUCGACUUCAAAGCCUUCGGGCGCUAGAGGAGGGGCCCGCGUCCCAUUAGCUAGUUGGUAGGGUAACGGCCUACCAAGGCUGCGAUGGGUAGCCGGCCUGAGAGGGUGUCCGGCCACACUGGAACUGAGACACGGUCUAGACUCCUACGGGAGGCAGCAGUGGGGAAUUUUGCGCAAUGGGCGAAAGCCUGACGCAGCGACGCCGCGUGGGUGAUGAAGUUCUUCGGAACGUAAAGCCCUGUCAGGAGGGACGAAGCUCUGACGGUACCUCCAAAGGAAGCCCCGGCUAACUCCGUG